rnacentral:rRNA from 1 species
GACGAACGCUGGCGGCGGGCCUAACACAUGCAAGUCGAGCGAGCGGCGGACGGGUGAGUAAUGUCUGGGAAACUGCCUGAUGGAGGGGGAUAACUACUGGAAACGGUAGCUAAUACCGCAUACCAUCAGAUGUGCCCCUAUGGGAUUAGCUAGUAGGGGGGGUAACGGCUCACCUAGGCGACGAUCCCUAGCUGGUCUGAGAGGAUGACCAGCCACACUGGCACUGAGACACGGUCCAGCCUCCUACGGGAGGCAGCAGUGGGGAAUAUUGCACAAUGGGCGCAAGCCUGAUGCAGCCAUGCCGCGUGUAUGAAGAAGGCCUUCGGGUUGUAAAGUACUUUCAGCGGGUAGGCGUUACCCGCAGAAGAAGCACCGGCUAACUCCGUGCCAGCCGCCGCGGUAAUUC